GUACUUGUUUUGGCAGCAUAUAUAUAAAAUUGGAACUAUACAGAGAUCAAUAUGGCCCCUGUGCAAGGAUGAUGCAUAGAUUCAUGAAGUGUUCAAUAUUUCU
rnacentral:snRNA from 1 species